rnacentral:rRNA from 1 species
CGGAAUCUGCCUAUUUGUGGGGGAUAACGUAGGGAAACUUACGCUAAUACCGCAUACGACCUACGGGUGAAAGCGGAGGACCUUCGGGCUUCGCGCAGAUAGAUGAGCCGAUGUCGGAUUAGCUAGUUGGCGGGGUAAAGGCCCACCAAGGCGACGAUCCGUAGCUGGUCUGAGAGGAUGAUCAGCCACACUGGAACUGAGACACGGUCCAGACUCCUACGGGAGGCAGCAGUGGGGAAUAUUGGACAAUGGGCGCAAGCCUGAUCCAGCCAUGCCGCGUGGGUGAAGAAGGCCUUCGGGUUGUAAAGCCCUUUUGUUGGGAAAGAAAAGCAGUCGGUUAAUACCCGAUUGUUCUGACGGUACCCAAAGAAUAAGCACCGGCUAACUUCGUGCCAGCAGCCGCGGUAAUACGAAGGGUGCAAGCGUUACUCGGAAUUACUGGGCGUAAAGCGUGCGUAGGUGGUUUGUUAAGUCUGAUGUGAAAGCCCUGGGCUCAACCUGGGAAUUGCAUUGGAUACUGGCAGGCUAGAGUGUGGUAGAGGGUAGUGGAAUUCCCGGU